ensembl:lncRNA
GCGGCUUCCGCUGAGCUGCCUGUUCCGGAGCACAAACAAUUUCUGCUCUGACGCGGGGUCUCUCGGGCCCCGGCGUCCUCUCCUCCCUGCUUCCCCCCCUUCCGGACCACAUAAGGAACACCAUGAUCGUACAUCUGUGCAGCUUGUUUCAGAGUCCCAGCCCUCACCAGCUGUGAGGUCACAUCUCUUGGAAGGCAGUCAUCUACCUCAACCAACAGCUUGGAGAUGGCUGGGCAGUAGGACCACAUCUGCCAUUUGAACAGCCUACCACUGCUGCUCUGGGCUGUCCAGCUCCUUCCAGUGCUCCAAGAGAGGAUGCGAUUUUAAAAAAUGCAUAUAUUCAGGCAGAUGGACCCCAGUGAACUAUGCAACACAGCCAGCAUCCAUGGCCAUUGCUUCCCUGCCUUCAACUACAGGGAAAUGGAAUGCGCAUUCACAAAAUGCGACUGUGUCUCACAAGAGAACUCCUGAGAACUGAGUGAGCAAGUUUAAUUAUGUGCAUUGCUGGAGUUCCAGGUCUUUCCUCUGGAGGACAUUCCCCCCUAAAGUUGCUGACGUCUGAUUCUUACUGGAUUUCAGAAGGCAUCUGCUGAAUUGAAGCGAACAAUGUGAAUAAGUGAAGCAGGUUCCGAGGCCAGGGCAGGCCAGGGAGCAUGUGUGCCUCUGCUGGGAACCAGUGUGCUGGGUCUUCUGAUUCUUCAGGAGAUGCCGGAAAUAUGGAUUUUUAUGGGAAAACUUCCAAUUUUAAAAUGCUGGCAACUCAUUCAAAAAACUGACUCUCUGAAGCAACGCCAAGAGCACAGGGCUGGCCACCAAACGGAGCCCUGCUAACCUGCCCUCGAGGGCCCUUGGACUUGAUGCCAACCUUGAGCCUCAGUGCCCUCAGCCUGCAUUUGUGGAGUCUGAACUGGGUCCACAGCUGUUCUGCCUCAGUGUGGGGCCAAGGCUAACAAAAAGCAAAGCCUCUGGAAGAAGAGGAAGUGUUCUCUGGAUGCUGAAUGGGAGACCUUGAGGAGACGAAGAAGAUGAAGAUCAGAGGGGCUAAGUCACUUGCCCAGAACCGUGCAGCCAGCAAGUUGGGUUGCCAGGACUUCAAACAGCAGCUACAUCUCCAGCCUGCUUCCUGCACCUGGUGGGGGACACAGUGCUUCUCCGCCUUCAGGAAACAGCCCACUUGUCAGCAGCUGGGCUCCCAGGAACAAAGGCCUAGGUUCAUUACCACAGUAUCGACCCUGACACGUUGCACUCGGGCCACCUCCCCCAGAGUUCCUCAAUUCACACCCCAAAUGAAGCGUAAUUGGACCUGGACAUCUUUGAAGUCCCCCGAGCAGCUUGCCAGCAUUUUGAAAUGUCCUUGAUUUGCAUGGUGAAAACCUGGCUGGAGGUGACUUUUUUUCUUUUCCCUCAUCCCACAGUUUUCAAGACAGAAUGAUUUUAAAUGACAUUCCCCAGCCAGGGGAGAGUUACCAUGGAAGAAAUAAAAAUUCUCAAAGCCCCAAAAAGAAAAGGCAAAAGAAGUCCAAGGUUUUGCUGCAUCUCUCACGUGCCCCUUUGCUCGAUUUCUGUCCUGUGAGGGCCGCGCCAGGGUUUCCUCUCAACCUUCUUCCCAGACCCCAGACCUGAAGGGCUGACAAGGAUCCAGGAAGCUUGGCUGGGAGUUUCUGCAGACCGGCAGGUUGCUGUCAGACCUGAAGCAAGAAUGCGAGCCCCACCACAGGCCGGGUGAAGAAGCAAGCUCUGCCCACUGUAGAUUCUCCAGGAGCAUUUGUCUACUGUGGAGUGAAUCAGAAGUCGCGCCCUCCCUCUGACAGCUGCAGGAGGAGAGGGUGGAGGAAUCAUCUAGGGAAUGUGAGGGGAGUGGGGGCCACGUGGUGAGGAGGGAAGUUCUCCCUUGUCCCUUUCGAAGGCCCCUGGGGAUGUGGCCGAGGAGCCCAGGCCUGCGAAGUUGUGG